GGGUUGUGAGGUUAAGCGACUAAGCGUACACGGUGGAUGCCCUGGCAGUCAGAGGCGAUGAAGGACGUGCUAAUCUGCGAUAAGCGCCGGUAAGGUGAUAUGAACCGUUAUAACCGGCGAUUUCCGAAUGGGGAAACCCAGUGUGAUUCGUCACACUAUCAUUAACUGAAUCCAUAGGUUAAUGAGGCGAACCGGGGGAACUGAAACAUCUAAGUACCCCGAGGAAAAGAAAUCAACCGAGAUUCCCCCAGUAGCGGCGAGCGAACGGGGAGGAGCCCAGAGCCUGAAUCAGCAUGUGUGUUAGUGGAAGCGUCUGGAAAGGCGCGCGAUACAGGGUGACAGCCCCGUACACAAAAGCGCAUGUGCUGUGAGCUCGAUGAGUAGGGCGGGACACGUGGUAUCCUGUCUGAAUAUGGGGGGACCAUCCUCCAAGGCUAAAUACUCCUGACUGACCGAUAGUGAACCAGUACCGUGAGGGAAAGGCGAAAAGAACCCCGGCGAGGGGAGUGAAAAAGAACCUGAAACCGUGUACGUACAAGCAGUGGGAGCACCCUUCGGGGUGUGACUGCGUACCUUUUGUAUAAUGGGUCAGCGACUUAUAUUCUGUAGCAAGGUUAACCGUAUAGGGGAGCCGGAGGGAAACCGAGUCUUAAUUGGGCGUUAAGUUGCAGGGUAUAGACCCGAAACCCGGUGAUCUAGCCAUGGGCAGGUUGAAGGUUGGGUAACACUAACUGGAGGACCGAACCGACUAAUGUUGAAAAAUUAGCGGAUGACCUGUGGCUGGGGGUGAAAGGCCAAUCAAACCGGGAGAUAGCUGGUUCUCCCCGAAAGCUAUUUAGGUAGCGCCUCGUGAAUUCAUCUCCGGGGGUAGAGCACUGUUUCGGCUAGGGGGCCAUCCCGGCUUACCAACCCGAUGCAAACUGCGAAUACCGGAGAAUGUUAUCACGGGAGACACACGGCGGGUGCUAACGUCCGUCGUGAAGAGGGAAACAACCCAGACCGCCAGCUAAGGUCCCAAAGUCAUGGUUAAGUGGGAAACGAUGUGGGAAGGCCCAGACAGCCAGGAUGUUGGCUUAGAAGCAGCCAUCAUUUAAAGAAAGCGUAAUAGCUCACUGGUCGAGUCGGCCUGCGCGGAAGAUGUAACGGGGCUAAACCAUGCACCGAAGCUGCGGCAGCGAACGUAUCACCCAAGACAACUUUACGGAGUUGACGAUUGACGGAGCGAAGCGACGUCAAAGCGUUCAUUAAAGUCGAGUUGGCUUAGGGAUACGUUCGUUGGGUAGGGGAGCGUUCUGUAAGCCUGUGAAGGUGUGUCGUGAGGCAUGCUGGAGGUAUCAGAAGUGCGAAUGCUGACAUAAGUAACGAUAAAGCGGGUGAAAAGCCCGCUCGCCGGAAGACCAAGGGUUCCUGUCCAACGUUAAUCGGGGCAGGGUGAGUCGACCCCUAAGGCGAGGCCGAAAGGCGUAGUCGAUGGGAAACGGGUUAAUAUUCCCGUACUUGGUGUUACUGCGAAGGGGGGACGGAGAAGGCUAUGUUGGCCGGGCGACGGUUGUCCCGGUUUAAGCGUGUAGGUGUGUGUUCCAGGUAAAUCCGGUUCACUUUAACACUG
rnacentral:rRNA from 1 species